rnacentral:rRNA from 1 species
UGGGGAAUCUUGCGCAAUGGAGGAAACUCUGACGCAGCCACGCCGCGUGCAGGAAGACACCCCUCAGGGGCGUAAACUGCUUUUAUACGGGAAGAACACCCUACUCGGUAGGGUCUGACGGUACCGUAUGAAUAAGGACCGGCUAACUCCGUGCCAGCAGCCGCGGUAAUACGGAGGGUCCAAGCGUUGUCCGGAAUCACUGGGUGUAAAGGGUGUGUAGGCGGGCCUGCAAGUCAGAGGUGAAAGCCCCCGGCCUAACCGGGGAAUUGCCUUUGAGACUGCAGGUCUUGAGUCCUGGAGGGGUCACUAGAAUUCGUGGUGUAGCGGUGAAAUGCGUAGAUAUCACGAGGAAUACCAGAGGCGAAGGCGGGUGACUGGACAGGUACUGACGCUGAGGCACGAAAGCGUGGGGAGCAA